rnacentral:rRNA from 1 species
GGGGAAUAUUGCACAAUGGAGGAAACUCUGAUGCAGCGAUGCCGCGUGAGGGAAGAAGGUUUUAGGAUUGUAAACCUCUGUCUUCAGGGACGAAAAAAGGACGGUACCUGAGGAGGAAGCUCCGGCUAACUACGUGCCAGCAGCCGCGGUAAUACGUAGGGAGCGAGCGUUGUCCGGAAUUACUGGGUGUAAAGGGAGCGUAGGCGGGAUCGCAAGUCAGAUGUGAAAACUAUGGGCUUAACCCAUAAACUGCAUUUGAAACUGUGGUUCUUGAGUGAAGUAGAGGUAAGCGGAAUUCCUAGUGUAGCGGUGAAAUGCGUAGAGAUGGGGAGGAACACCAGUGGCGAAGGCGGCCUGCUGGGCUUUAACUGACGCUGAGGCACGAAAGCGUGGGUAGCAAACAGGAUUAGAUACCCUGGUAGUCCACGCUGUAAACGAUGAUUACUAGGUGUGGGGGGUCUGACCCCUUCCGUGCCGGAGUUAACACAAUAAGUAAUCCACCUGGGGAGUACGGCCGCAAGGUUGAAACUCAAAGGAAUUGACGGGGGCCCGCACAAGCAGUGGAGUAUGUGGUUUAAUUCGAAGCAACGCGAAGAACCUUACCAGGUCUUGACAUCCAACUAACGAAGUAGAGAUACAUUAGGUGCCCUUCGGGGAAAGUUGAGACAGGUGGUGCAUGGUUGUCGUCAGCUCGUGUCGUGAGAUGUUGGGUUAAGUCCCGCAACGAGCGCAACCCUUGCUAUUAGUUGCUACGCAAGAGCACUCUAAUAGGACUGCCGUUGACAAAACGGAGGAAGGUGGGGACGACGUCAAAUCAUCAUGCCCCUUAUGACCUGGGCUACACACGUACUACAAUGGAUGUUAACAGAGGGAAGCAAGACAGCGAUGUGGAGCAAACCCCUAAAAACAUUCUCAGUUCAGAUUGCAGGCUGCAACCCGCCUGCAUGAAGAUGGAAUUGCUAGUAAUCGCGGAUCAGCAUGCCGCGGUGAAUACGUUCCCG